CCAGUGGCUGGCUAUUUUGCUUCUCAGAUCUUGAAGUUGAACCCCAAUUUCUCUCUCUGAGAUUUUAUUAAUCGCCCUUCAGAGGGGAUUCCCUGUUCUCUGAUUGGGAUAAUCAAAUAACUUCAGAGAAUUUCUAUAUCAUCUGAGAGCAAUAUUCCAAACUUCUCGAGGGUAUCAAGAUAUCCUGGCCUUCUAACACCAAGAGUUCUCUCCUGAAUCUCAUAUGCACUUAGGUGUGGCCAAAGUAUGGAAAAGAAUCCGUCUUUAUCACUUCCCAUCAGUGGCCUGACUGGAAUGGCCUUUCUUGUCUAAUAUUUUCAAAUCCAAGAUGCUGGUGUUUACCUUCGUAGCUUUUGAUUUAACUAUUUAUAAUUAAUAAAUUUACUUGUUUUCUAAGCAAGAAAAAUGCUGUAUGAUUUGGACUUCUCUUGCAGUCCCUAGCAGAGAACAAGGACACCUGGGAAUGAUUCAGUGAGUGAUCUUGACUGGUCUGUUAUGGAUAAACAAUCAUAUCUUCAUCCAGUCGAAGAACCCAAGUUUUGUUAAGUAUGACAAAGUUUGUUAAGUAUGUUAAGUUCCCACUGGAACACUCAGAAAAAUUCAAGUAUAGAUUGAAUUCAAGAUCUUCUCAGAAAUGAGAAUAGUUUCAUUUCCCCUUCUCCUGUAGGUCGAAUGAUGAUAAGUCCACAAAUACAAAGCAUAGAGAAGAAAAGACCUGUGACACUCUCUUUGCUACAUCAUGGCUUGCCAUAGAGAGGGAGCUCAUUGCUUAUUCUACCACAUGGAGUAGUUUGGAGUGGGAAGGAGAUCCAGAUCACAACUGCCUCAGCACUGAGAUGAAGGGUUGUGUGAUGACUAAUCACUUGACUAUAUCUGGAAUUGAACAAAACUCAAGCAUCUGAGCACACCCAUGAAGGGUAUUUCUAAAUUGGAUUGUUGAGAAGAUUUACCCUUAAUCUGGAUCAUUUAAGGUUGGAAGACCACCCUAACAACCAGGACUCACAUGGUGGCAGCCCACAUAAAGGGCAUGGAAAAUAGAAUGUUUUGACGUUUGCA